CAUCCGCUAAGAAUGGAUUUUACGAAAUUCGACCCCUAAGGGGGUAAAACGGGGGUUGGAAGUUUGUAAGAAAGUCCUAUGUUUCUGAAGUAAGACACUCGAAAUUUAAAAUUUAUGCUCUAUAGAUGGUGAAAAGGUGUCCAAAUAAUGCAUCUUAAUCUAUAUAUAUA